rnacentral:rRNA from 1 species
CGGGGAAUAUUGCGCAAUGGGCGAAAGCCUGACGCAGCGACGCCGCGUGGGUGAUGAAGGCCUUCGGGUCGUAAAGCCCUUUCGAUGGGAAAGAACAAGUCGGGUUCAAAUAGACCCCGGCCCUGACGGUACCCAUAGAAGAAGCACCGGCUAACUCCGUGCCAGCAGCCGCGGUAAUACGGAGGGUGCGAGCGUUGUUCGGAAUCACUGGGCGUAAAGCGCGUGUAGGCGGCUUGAUAAGUCUGGUGUGAAAGCCCGGGGGCUCACCCCCCGGAAGUGCACUGGAUACUGUCGAGCUCGAGUUCCGGAGAGGAGAGUGGAAUUCCUGGUGUAGCGGUGAAAUGCGUAGAUAUCAGGAGGAACACCGGUGGCGAAGGCGGCUCUCUGGACGGUGACUGACGCUGAGACGCGAAAGCGUGGGGAGCAAACAGGAUUAGAUACCCACGUAGUCCCUGAGCGGGCUGGCAAGGCGCAU